ACUCCUGCGGGAGGCAGCAGUGGGGAAUAUUGGACAAUGGGCGCAAGCCUGAUCCAGCCAUGCCGCGUGAGUGAUGAAGGCUCUAGGGUUGUAAAGCUCUUUCACCGGUGAAGAUAAUGACGGUAACCGGAGAAGAAGCCCCGGCUAACUUCGUGCCAGCAGCCGCGGUAAUACGAAGGGGGCUAGCGUUGUUCGGAUUUACUGGGCGUAAAGCGCACGUAGGCGGACUAUUAAGUCAGGGGUGAAAUCCCGGGGCUCAACCCCGGAACUGCCUUUGAUACUGGUAGUCUUGAGUUCGAGAGAGGUGAGUGGAAUUCCGAGUGUAGAGGUGAAAUUCGUAGAUAUUCGGAGGAACACCAGUGGCGAAGACGGCAUACG
rnacentral:rRNA from 1 species